rnacentral:rRNA from 1 species
GAUGAACGCUGACAGAAUGCUUAACACAUGCAAGUCAACUUGAACUUCGGUUUGGGUGGCGGACGGGUGAGUAACGCGUAAAGAACUUGCCUCACAGAUAGGGACAACAUUUGGAAACGAAUGCUAAUACCUGAUAUUAUGAUUUUAGGGCAUCCUAGGAUUAUGAAAGCUAUAUGCGCUGUGAGAGAGCUUUGCGUCCCAUUAGCUAGUUGGAGAGGUAACGGCUCACCAAGGCGAUGAUGGGUAGCCGGCCUGAGAGGGUGAUCGGCCACAAGGGGACUGAGACACGGCCCUUACUCCUACGGGAGGCAGCAGUGGGGAAUAUUGGACAAUGGACCAAGAGUCUGAUCCAGCAAUUCUGUGUGCACGAUGAAGUUUUUCGGAAUGUAAAGUGCUUUCAGUNGGGAAGAAAAAAANG